rnacentral:rRNA from 1 species
UACGGGGGGGGCAAGCGUUGUUCGGAAUUACUGGGCGUAAAGGGCUUGUAGGUGGCCAACUAAGUCAGACGUGAAAUCCCUCGGCUUAACCGGGGAACUGCGUUUGAUACUGGAUGGCUUGAGUGUGGGAGAGGGAUGCGGAAUUCCAGGUGUAGCGGUGAAAUGCGUAGAUAUCUGGAGGAACACCGGUGGCGAAGGCGGCAUCCUGGACCAUUACUGACACUGAAAAGCGAAAGCCAGGGGAGCAAACGGG